UGGGGUGCUCGAGUGGCGAACGGGUGAGUAACACGUGAGUAACCUGCCCUUGACUUCGGGAUAACUUCAGGAAACUGGGGCUAAUACCGGAUAGGAGCUCCUGCUGCAUGGUGGGGGUUGGAAAGUUUCGGCGGUUGGGGAUGGACUCGCGGCUUAUCAGCUUGUUGGUGGGGUAGUGGCUUACCAAGGCUUUGACGGGUAGCCGGCCUGAGAGGGUGACCGGCCACAUUGGGACUGAGAUACGGCCCAG
rnacentral:rRNA from 1 species